rnacentral:rRNA from 1 species
CCUACGGGAGGCUGCAGUGGGGAAUAUUGGGCAAUGGGCGCAAGCCUGACCCAGCAACGCCGCGUGAAGGAAGAAGGCUUUCGGGUUGUAAACUUCUUUUCUCAGGGACGAAGCAAGUGACGGUACCUGAGGAAUAAGCCACGGCUAACUACGUGCCAGCAGCCGCGGUAAUACGUAGGUGGCAAGCGUUAUCCGGAUUUACUGGGUGUAAAGGGCGUGUAGGCGGGAAAGCAAGUCAGAUGUGAAAACCAUGGGCUCAACCUGUGGCCUGCAUUUGAAACUGUUUUUCUUGAGUACUGGAGAGGCAGACGGAAUUCCUAGUGUAGCGGUGAAAUGCGUAGAUAUUAGGAGGAACACCAGUGGCGAAGGCGGUCUGCUGAACAGCAACUGACGCUGAGGCGCGAAAGCGUGGGGAGCAAACAGGAGUAGAUACCCCAGUAGUC